UACGUAGGGGGCUAGCGUUGUCCGGAUUUAUUGGGCGUAAAGAGCGUGUAGGCGGCCAGGUAGGUCUGGUGUGAAAACUCGAGGCUUAACCUCGAGAUGUCAUCGGAAACCAUCUGGCUAGAGUCCGGAAGAGGAGAGUGGAAUUCCUGGUGUAGCGGUGAAAUGCGCAGAUAUCAUGAGGAAUACCAGAGGCGAAGGCGGCUCCCUGGACAAUUGCUGACACUCAGGCACGAAAGCGUGGGGAGCAAAAGGG
rnacentral:rRNA from 1 species